AGUAGAGACUGGGGUUUCACCAUGUUGGUCAGGCUGGUUUCAAACUCCUGACCUCAGGUGAUCCACCCACC
rnacentral:miRNA from 1 species